rnacentral:rRNA from 1 species
CAAUAGCGUAUAUUAAAGUUGUUGCAGUUAAAAAGCUCGUAGUUGGAUUUCUGGUCGGAAGCUCCUGUCCUCUGAUGAGCGUACAAGUGCGUCCUACCAUCCUUCUGUUAACCUUUAAGGCUUUCGCGGCUUUCUAGGGGCUCAGAUAUUUUACCUUGAGAAAAUUAGAGUGUUUCAGGCAGGCUAGCGCCGGAAUACAUUAGCAUGGAAUAAUGGAAUAGGACUUUUGCCUCUUCUGUUGGUCAUGAGGCUCGAGUAAUGAUUAAUAGGGAUAGUUGGGGGCAUUAGUACUUAACUGUCAGAGGUGAAAUUCUCGGAUUUGUUAAAGACUAACUUAUGCGAAAGCAUUUGCCAAGGAUGGUUUCAUUAA